rnacentral:rRNA from 1 species
GAUGAACGCUGGCGGCGUGCCUAAUACAUGCAAGUCGAGCGAAUGGAUUAAGAGCUUGCUCUUAUGAAGUUAGCGGCGGACGGGUGAGUAACACGUGGGUAACCUGCCCAUAAGACUGGGAUAACUCCGGGAAACCGGGGCUAAUACCGGAUAACAUUUUGAACCGCAUGGUUCGAAAUUGAAAGGCGGCUUCGGCUGUCACUUAUGGAUGGACCCGCGUCGCAUUAGCUAGUUGGUGAGGUAACGGCUCACCAAGGCAACGAUGCGUAGCCGACCUGCGAGGGUGAUCGGCCACACUGGGACUGGGACACGGCCCAGACUCCUACGGGAGGCAGCAGUAGGGAAUCUUCCGCAAUGGACGAAAGUCUGACGGAGCAACGCCGCGUGAGUGACGAAGGCUUUCGGGUCGUAAAACUCUGUUGUUAGGGAAGAACAAGUGCUAGUUGAAUAAGCUGGCACCUUGACGGUACCUAACCAGAAAGCCACGGCUAACUACGUGCCAGCCGCCGCUGUAA